rnacentral:lncRNA from 1 species
CUUCAAUUUGUGGCAUCAGGGUUUAGCAGUUUCUUUCCCAGUCUAAAAAGUAGUACUUUUUGAGAGGGAGCAUAAAAGACAUAAUAAAUUUAAUAAAAUUAAUUCAAGCAUAGGUAUUCAGUAAAUAUAAAGGAGAAGGCAUCCAACAUAAAAAGACCUUUUAAUCUAGAAAGCAAAAGCCAAAUUACAAUAAUAUGAAUAAUAAGCAAAUUAAUAGAUAGAAAGCAUUCUCUUUCCAAACUGAGAAUAUGGUUUAGCUCAUAUGCCUCAGUGGGAUGCAUGGGUCUUUGAGGACCUGGGAGGGGGGCAGCUAAAUUGCUGGCAAGGUGAAAGCUAGAAAUCAAUAAUCAGCCCUGAUUCCCAGCAGCUGACUGAAAGGUCUUUUAGGAAGCCACAGAGAUAGCUGGUCCCCUGGAGGGGGCAGGAAGGUCUUGGUGCCUAGUUUACAAGAGGGCUUAUUCACUUGUUUGUGUUGGAUAAGUGAAUUCGGUGCUUGUGGAAGAUGCCAGAUGGGCUGCAUGGGAGCCAGGAAGUCUCUCUCUCCACCAAGCAACAGCAGCGUGUGCUUCCCAAACUGAGCUGCCAGAGUGCCUUAGACCUGAGCCGUAGGUCAAAAGCAUGAACACUGUGAAGACAGGAACCGUGCACUUCCACAGGUACACUGAUCACAGCGGCUGCUACUGCAAAUGGCAUGAAAUGACGUUGAAUGUCAGAGACCAGAGCUUUCUCAGUCUGAUUCCUGAGUUUGUACCUCAAGCGUUGCAGUCCUCUCCUGCUCCUGGGACCAGCGGCCUAUGAGCAAACGGAGCCAUACCCUUUUUCCACAAGUUCCUGAGCCUGAUGGAUAUCACUGCUCUAUUCUUGGUUUCUGUUCACCUGUCACCUCUCUGCUGAGCUGCACGGAGGGAGGAAAGCUCCAGCUGAGCAUUUUGUCUCAGGCCCGCAUGGAUCAGCUGAAACAGAAACAUCUUAUUCCUGUAAUCCUUGACACUCCUGAAUACCAAUGAGCUGGAAAGAUCAAAGCAAGUUAUAAGCGCUCACUUCUGGCACAACCGUGUUGCGGAUAAGGAGCAUAUCUGUGGAGCUGCAUUGCCCUAAGAGCUGGCAGGGAUCAGAGCGUGACCCCAGAAAUACCAGCCUGGUCUCUGCUGCCCUUUUUGUGCUGUGACAUGAGUAACCAGCUCGUGUUUUACUGAGUGCAGAUUUGCUUCCCUUGCUGUGACCUUGCUGCCCUAUUUAUGAGCCUGGAGCAAACUUGUCCAUGCAAAUGUGGGCUGAAUGCAUGUCGAAGGUUUAAUAACCUCACUGAAUGCUUCUCCCUUCAUCUUUCAGUUCAUCAGCACCAGGGAAAAAUAAAGGUGGUCUUAAACACCCUGAUUUCUGUCUG